GGUCCACUAGAUGUUGAGGCCAAAGCGGGUGGCUGUAUCUCGGGCUUCUUACCAAGAAUAUCGUGCAUAACACUCCAAUACACCCACUUUUGACUGUGUGAAAGUAAAAAAGCACUGGGUGGAAGUCAGCGUGUAUCCCUUUCCCGCAAGCAAGGCUGAAGCCCUGAGGUAGAACAUAAGAACCUGUGCAUCCGUAACAUUUCUGGACUGACACUGCACCCCCUCUCCGAACGUUUGCACGGCUUAAAGCACAGUUUGGGAUGGAGAGAUGCUCGGCCCAUUCGUGCAGGGUUCUCCAAACUCAUCAUCUGGUUGGGGAGCAACUACCUCUUGUUGAAGAGGGACCACCUUGGGGGCGCUGUCAAAAU